rnacentral:piRNA from 1 species
UCUGUUCUAAACUUUGCCUCCCUAUUC